AGUCAUAUGCUUGUCUCAAAGAUUAAGCCAUGCAUGUCUAAGUAUAAGCGACUAUACUGUGAAACUGCGAAUGGCUCAUUAAAUCAGUUAUGGUUUAUUUGAUGGUACCUUGCUACUUGGAUAACCGUAGUAAUUCUAGAGCUAAUACAUGCAGGAGUUCCCGACUCACGGAGGGAUGUAUUUAUUAGAUAAGAAACCAAACCGGUCUCCGGUUGCGUGCUGAGUCAUAAUAACUGCUCGAAUCGCACGGCUCUACGCCGGCGAUGGUUCAUUCAAAUUUCUGCCCUAUCAGCUUUCGAUGGUAGGAUAGAGGCCUACCAUGGCGUUAACGGGUAACGGAGAAUUAGGGUUCGAUUCCGGAGAGGGAGCCUGAGAAAUGGCUACCACAUCCAAGGAAGGCAGCAGGCGCGUAAAUUGCCCGAAUCCUGACACCAGGGAGGUAGUGACAAGAAAUAACAAUACAGGGCUAUUUUAGUCUUGUAAUUGGAAUGAGUACAAUUUACAUCUCUUCACGAGGAUCAAUU
rnacentral:rRNA from 1 species